rnacentral:lncRNA from 1 species
UCUUCUUCUCUAAGACAAGUUCUAGAUUUGAAGAAAAAUUAAAAUAAGCAUUCAUCACUAUAUAUAUAGCAGCUCACAAGUUCUAGAUCUGAAGAAAAAAACUGGGUUGCCACUGGAAUUUUGUUUGGCUCACAAGUUCUACAUCACGCCAGCAAAAUGAUUCCAGUCAAUAGCUAUGCAGCUAUUCCCUUCGCUUCAGCAUAAUGAUUCCACUCACUUCGAAAACCCUAACUCCCUAAUUUUCAAGAGGUGGCACGGUGGUCAUUCUCAUCAUCACCACCACGACCAUCGCUCCGGUAAGGAAGGAGAAAAUGUUUUUCGGCUAGGACUCGCUGCCGACAUAGGUUUGGCUGCCGGUAAAGCAAUGGCCGGUUAUUUGUCCGGGACUCACUGAUCAAUUGUUGUUUGUUUAAUUUAAUUAUUUUGUUGCGGGUCCUUCAUUUUUUGGUUUGUUUGUAGAAUUGAGAAAGAAAAAUACAUAAAAUUACUGUUCAAUGAAAUCAACCCCUCUUAGCUGUCGUUUCCGAUGAAAUCAAUCUCGCCAUCCAACAUGAAAUUGCUGUUCAUCUUCUUCCUGUUCUCUAAUCUGGAUGAAAUUGCUCGAUCUGAAAUUCCAGGGUUUCAAUGAGGAAGAAGAUGAACAGUUUGAGUUUGAAUUAUUUUAGGCUUGAUGAAUCUGGAUGAACAGGAAGAAGAUGAACAUGAAGAAGAUGAAUCUGGAUGAACAGUUUGAGUUUGUAUUAUUUGGAAUUAAUUUUUAAAAUAAAAAUAAUUAUUAAAAGAAAGGAAAAGAAAAAAUUAUAAAAAAAUAAAUUAAAAUAUUUAUUUUAAUUUUAUUAUUAUUUUAAUUAUUUUUUUUAUCACAUAAUAAUUUUAUUAUUUUAAUUAAUUUUUAAAAUAAAAAUAAUUAUUAAAAGAAAGGAAAAGAAAAAAUUAUAAAAAAAUAAAUUAAAAUAUUUAUUUUAAUUUUAUUAUUAUUUUAAUUAUUUUUUUUAUCACAUAAUAAUUUUAUUAUUUUAAUUAAUUUUUAAAAUAAAAAUAAUUAUUAAAAGAAAGGAAAAGAAAAAAUUAUAAAAAAAUAAAUUAAAAUAUUUAUUUUAAUUUUAUUAUUAUUUUAAUUAUUUUUUUUAUCACAUAAUAAUUUUAUUAUUUUAAUUAAUUUUUAAAAUAAAAAUAAUUAUUAAAAGAAAGGAAAAGAAAAAAUUAUAAAAAAAUAAAUUAAAAUAUUUAUUUUAAUUUUAUUAUUAUUUUAAUUAUUUUUUUUAUCACAUAAUAAUUUUAUUAUUUUAAUUAAUUUUUAAAAUAAAAAUAAUUAUUAAAAGAAAG